AGUGAACGCUGGCGGUAGGCCUAACACAUGCAAGUCGAACGGCAGCACAGUAAGAGCUUGCUCUUACGGGUGGCGAGUGGCGGACGGGUGAGGAAUACAUCGGAAUCUACUUUUUCGUGGGGGAUAACGUAGGGAAACUUACGCUAAUACCGCAUACGACCUACGGGUGAAAGCAGGGGAUCUUCGGACCUUGCGCGAUUGAAUGAGCCGAUGUCGGAUUAGCUAGUUGGCGGGGUAAAGGCCCACCAAGGCGACGAUCCGUAGCUGGUCUGAGAGGAUGACAGGCCACACUGGAAGUGAGAGAUGGGCCAGACUCCUACGGGAGGCAGCAGUGGGGAAUAUUGGGAAAUGGGCGCAAGCAUGAUCCAGCCAUACCGCGUGGGUGAAGAAGGCCUUCGGGUGGGGAAGCCCUUUUGUUGGGAAAGAAAAGCAGCAGGUUAAGACGCCGCUGUUCUGACGGUACCCAAAGAAUAAGCACCGGCUAACUUCGUG
rnacentral:rRNA from 1 species